rnacentral:sRNA from 2 species
CCGCACUUCAUUGGGGAGUAGCCGCCCUGCCGGUCACGGCAGGGGCGCAUGUCAACAGACUUGGCUGCCGAAUUUCACCGGCGACCAUGGCAUGCGCAGCCACACAUGGGCCUGGCCAGACCAAUGACCGACUCCCUCGCGACGGGCCGGAGGGGGACGGUCAUUGGCAAACCAUAUCGGCCCGGCGGAGCGCUCGAUGUCCCCUUUUCUUAUCUCGACCGGUGUGGU